GGAAUUGUGCCUGAAUAAAGGGCCACUUUGAUAGAGUGACUCAUGAGGGUUAGAAUCCCUUCAACUCCU
rnacentral:tRNA from 1 species